rnacentral:rRNA from 1 species
UACAGAGACUGCAAGCGUUAUUCGGAUUCCCUGGGCGUAAAGGGUGCGCAGGCGGCCGGGUGUGUCAGAUGUGAAAUCCCGAGGCUCAACCUCGGAACUGCGUCUGAAACUACUCGGCUAGAGUACUGGAGAGGGUAACGGAAUUCACGGUGUAGCAGUGAAAUGCGUAGAUAUCGUGAGGAACACCAGAGGCGAAGGCGGUUACCUGGACAGUUACUGACGCUCAGGCACGAAAGCAUGGGGAGCAAAAGGG